UACGAAGGGGGCUAGCGUUGUUCGGAAUUACUGGGCGUAAAGCGCACGUAGGCGGCCUUUCAAGUCGGACGUGAAAGCCCCGGGCUUAACCCGGGAAUUGCGUUUGAUACUGUUGGGCUUGAGACCGGGAGAGGAUAGCGGAAUUCCCAGUGUAGAGGUGAAAUUCGUAGAUAUUGGGAAGAACACCAGUGGCGAAGGCGGCUAUCUGGACCGGUACUGACGCUGAGGUGCGAAAGCGUGGGGAGCAAACAGG
rnacentral:rRNA from 1 species